rnacentral:rRNA from 1 species
GACGAACCGUGCGAACGUUGUUCGGAAUUACUGGGCGUAAAGGGUGCGUAGGCGGCUUUCUAAGUUGGAUGUGAAAACUAUGGGCUCAACCCAUAGCCUGCAUCCAAAACUGGAGAGCUUGGGUUCUGGAGGGGAAAGCGGAAUUCCUGGUGUAGCGGUGAAAUGCGUAGAUAUCAGGAGGAACACCGGUGGCGAAGGCGGCUUUCUGGACAGACACCGACGCUGAGGCACGAAAGCUAGGGGAGCAAACAGG